UGUAGCAAAAUAGUGCAGUAAAUUUAAAAUUUUCAAAUAAAUAACUUUCUUUAGAAC
rnacentral:tRNA from 1 species